AGUACUUAAGCAGGAGGCUGCCAGCACUUCAAUGCGAGAGUGUUUUGCCACAGUGAUUUUUAAGCCUAAGCUUUGGAUCUAUGUCACUGAGUUUUCUGGACUACGUUCUGUCUUCGUUUGAGGAUCCUGUGUAUCUACCUUCGUUUGGAUUUGCAUCAAGCUGGCAGCUUCCUGUCCUCUUCGUCUCCUGAGCCAAGCCACAAACGUACCUUGUCCACCCUCCAACGUAAGCCACCGCACAUCGAACUUGUUUACUGUAACCUGAACAGGACAGCACCAAGUGAACUCACUACGGAUAUAUCUGCUUAAGACCUGGAUCCUGAAUCUCAUUCCCCCUGGCGACCUGACCAUCAUAACUCAUGAGAUAUUUCAUCCGUUCCGUUCCUGACUAUAUCUUCAAUAAACAAUUUUAUUUUA